rnacentral:lncRNA from 1 species
CUUAGACCCAACAGGGUAUUGAGCUGGCAACGUCCCAUAGGUUCACUUCACGACCUUGACGACGGUCAAUAGGAAGAGCGGCAACGUCGGUUGUAAUAUGUCAAAUCAUAAAUAAAGCUUCUAUCAAAUACUCAUAACAAUGGAAGUACACGAGUGUACUUUGUUUACCGUUGUUUACUUUUCUUGACGUAAGUGAAGACGCUAUUUCAAGAAAUUUGAAGUGCUAAUUCAUUAAAAUAUGUACGCUUUCAUGACUGUGCCUCAACUUAAAGUUGAGGUUCGUAAAAGAAAUGCGUCAAUUGCCGGAAAAAAAGGCUAAUUUGAUAGAAAGAUUGCAAUCUAAUGACCGGAAUAAAAAUUUUGGUGUUGACUGCGAGAUCCAAGAGGAGAUCGCAUAUCUGAGUCCAGCCACUGAUACUUUCAGAGACAUAAUUGCGGACACUUCUUUACCAAUGAUUACAAGACAAGCAAUACAGGAAUAUUUUGAAAGUUAUGUACCCAUAUGUAAUGAUUAUAAUCUUAGGCAGUUGUUUACAAAGAUGACAGUGUAAAUUUUAUGUAUUUAAAUUGGUAUACCUACACUCAUAUAUCAUGAUAUCUUGAUAACAUUAUAUUAUAUUUUCUUACUACAU